UACGUAGGGGGCAAGCGUUGUCCGGAAUUAUUGGGCGUAAAGAGCUCGUAGGCGGUCUGUCGCGUCGGCUGUGAAAACCCGGAGCUCAACUCCGGGCCUGCAGUCGAUACGGGCAGACUGGAGUUCGGCAGGGGAGACUGGAAUUCCUGGUGUAGCGGUGAAAUGCGCAGAUAUCAGGAGGAACACCGGUGGCGAAGGCGGUUCUCUGGGCCUGUUCUGACGCUGAGGAGCGAAAGCGUGGGGAGCGAACAGG
rnacentral:rRNA from 1 species